UACGAAGGGGGCUAGCGUUGUUCGGAAUCACUGGGCGUAAAGCGCACGUAGGCGGGCGUGCCAGUCAGGGGUGAAAUCCCGGAGCUCAACUCCGGAACUGCCUCUGAUACAGCACGUCUUGAGUUCGAGAGAGGUGGGUGGAAUUCCUAGUGUAGAGGUGAAAUUCGUAGAUAUUAGGAAGAACACCGGUGGCGAAGGCGGCCCACUGGCUCGAUACUGACGCUGAGGUGCGAAAGCGUGGGGAGCAAACAGG
rnacentral:rRNA from 1 species